CUCUCUUUUAUAUACUUGCCUAUAUAAUGAUAAUGCAAUAAUCUCUAUUCUAAGUAGGUUUCUAUUUUGAGAGUUAUUAAAGUAUUGUAUAUCAGUAUAGAAUUCGCCUGAUAAGCCCGUUCUCUAAGGUGGAAACACUGUAUUAAAACAGCAUACACCAAAACUCAAUGAACUAAAAGAUUUUAUUAAUUGAAGGAAAAGAAACCAACCGGGAUUGCGCUAGUAGUACAGAACGAAAGUGCAUAAGCUUAAAGAAAUAUUUUUUGUUUACAAUCGAACUUAAGUGAAAUCCGGACCAGAGAAAGUUAUAGUCUUGUAGGUUGUAAACAAAAAAAGUGCUGUAAUUAUUUAUAAGCAUGUAACUAUUAUUAUAAUAAUGCACAAAUAUUGAAGAAGGCAAAAGUAAUAAAUAGGCUUUAAGGACUAAAUUAGUGGUUUAACGCUGCUAGUUAUAAACGGAAACCACUCCGUUGGCUAAAUAUUCUAUGUAGAUCGAUAGUGAAUCAGUACUGUAAAGGAAUUUGGAAACAAGAAUGCCAUUGCUUCUCUGAAUACAAGUCCCGAAACAGGUUGCUUAUAAUGACUUUCAGUUUGGCUGUUAUAAUGUUGAAUAGAAAGGUUCCUUUUGAAUCAUGAGCUGAUGACUUUGUGUUAGUUUAGGACAUACAUUAACUGUUCUCUUUUUUUUUUUACCUUCAGGGUAAAAAAAAGCGCGUACAAUUAAUCUAAGUAGCUUAAUUUAUUAAAAGUAAGCUUAUUAUGAAAGUAUUCAUAGAAAACUAACAUAAAACGCGAAACGAAGUGAUCUUAAGUAGACCAGGGGGAAGGUUACCGGAAGGUAGUUGGACGCCCGAAGUGGUAUGCGUUGCAACGCAUUCAUAUGAGUUUAUUUAAGUGGCGAAAUACCAAUCGAACUUCGAAAUAUCUCGUUUUUUGCGAAACCUUUUUAGGAAGGGGGCCUGUCAAAUAUAUGCUAACUAGGUAGAGCGCUGUAAAACUGAUGGGAAGGAAACUUUUACUGAGGUGUUGCAAACCACAAAUUAGGAGCAUUUUAUCAGGUACUCAGUCAGUGCGGGACAAGCUGCAUUUGACAAGAAGGAAACAGCCUAGACUAUAAAUUAAGGCCCGAAAAUAGCACUAAGUGAGAAAGUAAUUAACUUCACAAAAAUUAGUAGGACGUUUGAUUAGUAGCAUCUACCGUUUAAAGAAAGCGUAAUAGCUCACUACUAUAGUUUAGUUGUUGCAAAAAUUUAGCCGGACUAAGCGCUAUGCCGAAAUUAUAGCUAAC
rnacentral:rRNA from 1 species